ensembl:lncRNA
CCCAUGGGAAGCCCUGGGGGACAGGCUCUACAGAGGACUUGUCACUUUCAAGAAGAAAAGAAAAAGGUUUGCCUGAUGAGUAAGCUCAGUCCAGCAUCAGUAGAGGUGUCAGCUUUAAAGGACGGACGAUGGUCAUGCCCAACAAGGACAUAUAACCAGGUAGGGAAUCUAAUCUCUAAUCCUGCUGCUACCCUGGGAAGCUGUUCUUUCACUAGUUUCACCUCACACAAUGGGGGCUCACCAGGUGCCCACCACAGGGUAAGUGGAUGAAGAACAGGCAGUGAAGCCACAGUGGGAUCCUACUCAGCUCCAGAAAGUGUGGACUUCUGCCAUUUUUAACAUCAGGGCUGAAACUGGGAAAACAGGCAUCAAAUACCGUAUGCCAAGGGAGU